GAGGACCCCGCUCAGGGAUGACUCGGUGUGGUUGGACCUCUGACCAGGCAGGGCUGGAUGUCACAGCCCUAAACUGUCCCAGCCACCAGGGCACCUCACCAUCCCCAAGAGCAGUCGAGGCUGGAAAAGCCCUCCCAGACCAUCGAGUCCAACCAUCCCCAGCACUGACCCACGUCCCCAAGUGCCACAUCCCCAGGGCCGUUAAACCCCUCCAGGGAUGGGGCUCCACCACUGCCCUGGCACAGGACAACCCCUUUGGUGAAGAAAUGUCCCAGAUUUCCCAACCUGAACCUCCCCUGGCACAACUUGAGGCCGGUUCCUUUGUCCUGAGCACAGCAAGCGUGUCCCAUGUCACUGGGGAGGUGCCUGUGGAGAGGAGGAACAACAAAUGUGCACAGUGCAAAUGCAUCCAGCAGAUCCCUGCCGGGGAAUAAGAUACUUCCUCAUGUUAAAGUUUCAGAGCUGGAUUAUUUCACAUUCCAACAAUGCUGUGUUGUCAGCUCUGGAACUCCCCUGUCAGCAGCAGAAGAGGCACCACCUUCCACGGGCUGGAUGAGUGAAAACUGGGGAAGCAGCAGCGUUGCAGCCUCUCCACGCGGCAAAUCCCAACCCGUGCUCCGAGGAAUUCCAUUUGUGACCCCUCCCAAGGAGCCAGAAUUCACCCCCCUGAGCCCACCUCGGCCACAGCCCCCGAUUUUCCCCACGCAGGACCAGUGCAGGGAGCUCACCCCGGGAUUGUGGGGAAGGGUGAGGGGCUCCAGGGCAUCCAUCCCCGUCCCCAGCCCAUCCCAGCCGGGAUCAAUGCGGGAUCGUUAGGGAGGAGGGACAGGCUGGAGGUGACCAGAGACACAGGCAAGGAUAACAAACCCCGGGCUGGCGUGGGUGUGAUGGAGCAGGGAAUUUAAGGAGAGCUUAAAAAAAAUAAAAAUAAAGCCACCUCUGCAGCA